rnacentral:rRNA from 1 species
GUAAGACUGGGAUAACUCCGGGAAACCGGGGCUAAUACCGGAUGCUUGUUUGAACCGCAUGGUUCAAACAUAAAAGGUGGCUUCGGCUACCACUUACAGAUGGACCCGCGGCGCAUUAGCUAGUUGGUGAGGUAAUGGCUCACCAAGGCAACGAUGCGUAGCCGACCUGAGAGGGUGAUCGGCCACACUGGGACUGAGACACGGCCCAGACUCCUACGGGAGGCAGCAGUAGGGAAUCUUCCGCAAUGGACGAAAGUCUGACGGAGCAACGCCGCGUGAGUGAUGAAGGUUUUCGGAUCGUAAAGCUCUGUUGUUAGGGAAGAACAAGUACCGUUCGAAUAGGGCGGUACCUUGACGGUACCUAACCAGAAAGCCACGGCUAACUACGUGCCAGCAGCCGCGGUAAUACGUAGGUGGCAAGCGUUGUCCGGAAUUAUUGGGCGUAAAGGGCUCGCAGGCGGUUCCUUAAGUCUGAUGUGAAAGCCCCCGGCUCACCCGGGGAGGGUCAUUGGAAACUGGGGAACUUGAGUGCAGAAGAGGAGAGUGGAAUUCCACGUGUAGCGGUGAAAUGCGUAGAGAUGUGGAGGAACACCAGUGGCGAAGGCGACUCUCUGGUCUGUAACUGACGCUGAGGAGCGAAAGCGUGGGGAGCGAACAGGAUUAGAUACCCUGGUAGUCCACGCCGUAAACGAUGAGUGCUAAGUGGUUAAGGGGGUUUCCGCCCCUUAGUGCUGCAGCUAACGCAUUAAGCACUCCGCCUGGGGAGUACGGUCGCAAGACUGAAACUCAAAGGAAUUGACGGGGGCCCGCACAAGCGGUGGAGCAU